UAAGAAGAUAGAAUGUCUGCCCCGCACCUAUCUUGAAGCUCUCGUUUUGAAGACUUUCAAGAUAGGUGCGGGAAGGAAAGUCCGAACACCAUAGGGCAGGAUACUUCUUAACAGGAAGCCUCGGUGACGGGGAGCCAGCUCCACAGAAAUAAACUGCUUCGAAAUACUUCGGAGUAAAGGUGAAAUGGUGGUGUAAGAGACCACCGGAUUUCGGUGUGAAUCGGAAUGCCAGGAAAGCCUUAUCUGGUGCAAUGCCAAAUAGGAAAGCAGGAGUCGGCCCGACUUGAUUGCUUUCGGGUAGGCAGCUAAAGCCGGUCAGAAUUGAGUUCAUUUGAACAUAGUAAUAUCCGGUGUAGAGAAAUAGACAUUAAAUCACUUAUUAGGUGAUUUACAGAAUUCGGCUUAUUAUCUUCUUUGGCA
rnacentral:RNase_P_RNA from 1 species